rfam:Donghicola sp. KarMa genome assembly, contig: KarMA_contig57
GCGGAGGGCCGGAUGGCCGCGGGCGGCUCCGGUCGUCCGAGGAAAGUCCGGACUCCACAAGACAAAGGUGCCGGGUAACGCCCGGCCGGGGUAACCCGAGGGAAAGCGCCACAGAGAACAGACCGCCCCGUUUAUCGGGGUAAGGGUGAAACGGCGGUGUAAGAGACCACCGGGGGACUGGUAACAGGCCCCGCAUGGCAAGCCCCACCUGGAGCAAUGCCGAAUAGGAACCUCGCGCGGCAUGUCCGCAGGGUCGUCUUGGCCCGGAGGUUCGGGUUGGCAGCUAGAGGCACGCAGGCAACUGCGCGCCAAGAUGAAUGGUCAUCCAGAGCGUUUACGCUUGGACAGAAUCCGGCUUAUAGGCUCUCCGCGCAA